UUGACAUGCAGAGAAUUUCCAGAGAUGGAUUGGUGCCUUCGGGAACGUCUGACACAGGUGCUGCAUGGCUGUCGUCAGCUCGUGUCGUGAGAUGUUGGGUUAAGUCCCGUAACGAGCGCAACCCUUGUCCUUAGUUACCAGCACGUUAUGGUGGGCACUCUAAGGAGACUGCCGGUGACAAACCGGAGGAGAUGGAGAUGACGUCAAGUCAUCAUGGCCCUUACGGCCUGGGCUACACACGUGCUACAAUGGUCGGUACAAAGGGUUGCCAAGCCGCGAGGUGGAGCUAAUCCCAUAAAACCGAUCGUAGUCCGGAUCGCAGUCUGCAACUCGACUGCGUGAAGUCGGAAUCGCUAGUAAUCGUGAAUCAGAAUGUCACGGUGAAUACGUUCCCGGGCCUU
rnacentral:rRNA from 1 species